rnacentral:snRNA from 1 species
GUGCUCGCUUCGGCAGCACAUAUACUAAAAUUGGAACGAUACAGAGAAGAUUAGCAUGGCCCCUGUGCAAGGAUGACACACAAAUUCGUGAAGCGUUCCGUAUUUUU